CUAUUUAUAAAAAGUGAUCGCAGUUGCGAUUUGCGAUUUUUCAAUCACAGUGAAAAAAUCACCGGUAGUGAAAUAUCGCUCAUCACUAAUCCACACUCGCUUAUGUGCCAUAUUAUAUUUUUAUUUUUACAAACCACAAACAUCUGUAUCUUUGAUUGUGGCAGAUACCCGGGAUUGACUGUAUUUGUCAAGGAAUGUAAAAAAUAUUUUGUAAUUCUGAAAUAUUUUUACGCAGCUCCGUCGAUAUGUAUGCAAGCUCACGCACAAACAUACAUAUUUACGCUGGUUUGUAGGCGAAGCUGUACAGCGGCAGGGAAAGCGGUGACAAUCUGCGGCCAUUCGUUUAUUUUUUUCGGCACAGCUUGGAUUUUCUACCAACAACACAAUGUUUGACUUUUUAACAAAACGUGAAGUUCGGCCAUUUGUUGUCCGUGGCAACGGAGUUUUUGUAUGAAACAAUGGUUGUAUAUAUUUAUACACAAAUUGGUGUGUAGACAAAUUUACAAACAUUAUGCGAAAGAUUCUUUCAAAUUUGUUUACAUGAACACAAAAUUACAUACAUACAUACUUAUGUGAAUAUGUGAACUUUAUGCGUACGGUUUUUGAAAUCUAUUUACAUGUACACAUAAUUACAUAUAUGCAUAUGACUUUUCAGAUUUUAUCAAAACGGGAUUUUAUCAAGAAAAAAUUUAUCAUUACGGGUAUGGUUUUUAAAAAUCUGUUUAUAUGUACACAUAAUUGCAUCCAUAUGCGAAUAUGUGCGUCGGCUUGGUCUUCAAAAUGUUAUCAAAACCUCUAAUGCCAAUAUAAUAUACUCGUACAUACAUAUGUACAUAUGCAUAUUUAUUUAAGUAAUAAUGGAAAUAUGACUUUAUUAUAAAUUCCAACAGAUUUAAUGAAAUUUAUCAUUAAAUAGGCCAAAUUGCUCAUACAUACAUACAUAGCUUUGUUAUCAAAUAUAUGGAGAAUAUCCAUAAAUUAUAUCCAUAGCCGUUUGCGCAUUGUAAAUACGCGAAUCUGUAAGCGUACAUUUCUAAACAUUAAAAUUAUCAUUAUUUUUCUCAUUUAACAAUGAAAAUGCGCAGUUCUGCUAUUUUCGACCCCUUCAUGUUAAAUAUUGGUGAAAACCGCUAAUAAUAUUUUUGUGGUGAAAUCCACUAAUAGAAAACUCAACCCCUCCAAAAAGAGGAACAUUUUGACAAUCGGCACACCCUGAACCUUCUCUAUAUUCUACAUUUUCUGUCUGAGGCAAAACGAAAUGAAAAUAAUUUGGCUGUGGAUAGAAAUGAAGUUUUUAAUAUGUUAAACACUAUUUCUGCACAAUUAGAAGUAUUGACGACAAGAGUAUAUGGAGAAAAAGAUGGACAGCUAUGAAAGAAAAUAUAAUUCAUAAAAGCGAAGAAAUGGCCCAAAAAAACUGUGCGCGAAUGUAAGGUUUUAAUUAGAAAAAUUCACCAUUCAGUAUGCCGACUGACUGGUAAAGAAAUAGAUAGUAUGCAAACCGAAGUUGCCUCCACGCUACCAAUAACAACGAUAGCUGCAGCAUUGGAAAUGGACGAGAAACUGAAAUGCGAGGAAUUUGCUACUGCAACGAAACAGUUUAUUUUAAAAACAAAGUGAAAUUCAGAUAAUUUACAUGAUGUGCUGAGACAUAUAUACACUGACGAAUUUUUGUUUUUGUGUAACUGGGACAGUAGAGGAAGGAAGCAACCCCUAUCGAAAUUUCUACUGGCAUCUAACAUAUGAAAUAUAUGAUUCUUUCGUUACUUGUGGACUGGCGAAUUUCGAAAAACAAAUUCGGAAGUCCAUCGAAAUGAGCCACUAUAGGUACAAACAAAAGAAAUACAGGAAGCGAAAAGCUGUGGAGGAAUCGAACGAAUCCAAAUAGAUAAUAAUUUAAAAAAAAAUGUAGUAGGAUUUAAGAAUGUAUAAACAAAAAUUAAUUUUAAUAGUGUAACUAUAAUAGCUUUAAUAUGAAUGUUUAUUUUAAAAAUUUAUAUCUUACCAUGUAAUUAGCAAAAUAUAAUAUUAUAGAUUAUUUUUAGUUUCUUAAACUC